rnacentral:rRNA from 1 species
AUGGUUUACUGUACUCACUGUGCUGAUUAUUGCCCAUACAUAAAAGAUCCUGACAAGGGAUAUAUAUGUUGUGGGACGUGUGGAAAGGUUCUUGAUCAGGAGAUUUACACUGAUGAGCCUACUUUUGUCAAGGACAGUUCCGGAGCGAGCAGGCUGGCUGGAAACAUAUUGAGCAGCAUCGAGAGUGGGAGUUCACUAUCCCACGAAAGGACUUUAAUGAAAGGGAGAGACGAGAUUUGGCAGAUUGUCACUAGCUUACAUGUUGGUGGUGGAGACACUAUCAUUGAUAUGGCUCAUAAAUUUUAUACACUAGCUGUGGACCAUAAUUUUACAAGGGGCCGUCGAACAACUCAUGUUGCAGCAGCUUGUCUUUACAUUGCCUGCCGGCAAAGUAAAAAGGCUUAUCUUCUUAUCGAUUUCUCGGACUAUUUGAAGAUUAGUGUUUAUGUCCUAGGUGCUGUUUUUCUGCAACUUUGCCAAGUUUUGCUACUUGCAGAACAUCCAAUUGUUCAGAAGCUCAUAGACCCCAGCCUUUUCAUCCAUCGUUUUACAGAACGUUUACUUGGGAAAAGGGACAAUGCUGUCUCAGACACAGCUUUACGCAUCAUAGCUAGCAUGAAGCGAGACUGGAUGCAGACUGGGAGGAAGCCAAGUGGAUUAUGUGGUGCAGCAUUAUAUAUUGCUGCACUUUCACAUGGCUAUAAUUAUACCAAGUCAAAUAUUGUUGCAGUUGUGCAUGUAUGUGAGGCAACACUAACUAAGCGCUUGAUAGAGUUUGAAAAUACAGAUUCUGGCAGCUUAACGAUUGAAGAUUUUUUGGCAAAGGCUGAUGAUGAGCCUGUUUCAAAUUUUUCUCCCAUAUCUGGAGAAGUCCUCUGCAAACACAAGGAUAAAGCUGCUGAGCAUUUUGCUCAUGGACUUUGUGAGAAGUGCUACAACAAAUUUACUAAACUGUCGGGUGGACUGGAGGGUGGUGCUGACCCUCCAGCUUUCCAACGAGCUGAAAAACUAAGACUGGAAGCUGCUAAGAAGGCCGAGGAAGCUGCUGCUAUUAAGGAAGCAAUGUUAGGAGAGUCAAUUUGUGAGAUGCAGAAUUCUGAUGCUGAGCAUAACAUCAUGAGCACUACAGAGGAUUCAGUUGGAGAUAAAUCUGCAACAAUUGGUUCUGGGGAAAUUGGAAAGGAUUAUGUAACUUCAAAAGAUCCUGAAGUGGGAGGUUUGUUAGUUGUAACAUGCAAUAGUAUCAGUGAAAAUGGUAAAGUUGAUGCUGAUCCAGAAAGUUUUUCUGAUAUUGAUGAUGUGGAGGUUGACGGGUAUCUUCACAAUGAGGAAGAGACGCAAUACAAAAAGAUAAUUUGGGAAGAAAUGAACAAAGAAUACCUAGAGGAACAAGCCGCAAAGGAAGCUUUAGCAGCUGAAUUGGCAGCUAGAGGUGUGGGCGUGGGAGAGGGGCAACAGAAGAAACGGAGACGUAAUGAAGACAUGAAGAACUCAACACCUGCUGAAACACCAGCGGAAGCAACAUACAAUAUGUUAAAACGAAAGGGACUUGGGUCAAAAAUCAACGUUGAAGCAGUUGGUGGAUUGUAUAAUACUAAAGAUGAAGCUAGUGAAGCAAAUGAAAAAGGAGACAUGGGAUUUGAUGGAGAAUAUGCACAUGACACUGGUGAUGGUGAAACAGUAGAAGGUGGCUACGACUAUGCUGAUUACAACAACGAUGGCUAUGCUGAUGGUGGUGAUGCUGGAGCCUACGAGGAUUACGAUGGGAUUGAUUACUAA